rnacentral:rRNA from 1 species
UACAGAGGUCCCAAGCGUUGUUCGGAUUCACUGGGCGUAAAGCGCGCGCAGGCGGUCUUCCAAGUCAGUGGUGAAAGCCCGGAGCUCAACUCCGGAAUUGCCAUUGAAACUGUGAGACUGGAGUACGAGAGAGGUGAGUGGAAUUCCCAGUGUAGAGGUGAAAUUCGUAGAUAUUGGGAAGAACACCGGUGGCGAAGGCGGCUCACUGGCUCGUAACUGACGCUCAGGCGCGACAGCGUGGGGAUCAAACAGG